GGGCCAGACUCCUACGGGAGGCAGCAGUGGGGAAUAUUGGACAAUGGGGGGAACCCUGAUCCAGCGACGCCGCGUGAGUGAAGAAGUAUUUCGGUAUGUAAAGCUCUAUCAGCAGGGAAGAAAGAAGUGACGGUACCUGACUAAGAAGCCCCGGCUAACUACGUGCCAGCAGCCGCGGUAAUACGUAGGGGGCAAGCGUUAUCCGGAUUUACUGGGUGUAAAGGGAGCGUAGACGGCGAUGCAAGUCUGAAGUGAAAGGCGGGGGCCCAACCCCCGGACUGCUUUGGAAACUGUAUAGCUGGAGUGCAGGAGAGGUAAGUGGAAUUCCUAGUGUAGCGGUGAAAUGCGUAGAUAUUAGGAGGAACACCAGUGGCGAAGGCGGCUUACUGGACUGUAACUGACGUUGAGGCUCGAAAGCGCGGGGAGCAAACAGGAUUAGAUACCCGUGUA
rnacentral:rRNA from 1 species